rnacentral:pre_miRNA from 1 species
AAAAGACUCCCUCCAUCCCAAAAAGCUUGUCUUAGAUUAGUCUAGAUACGGAUAUAUCUAGAUACAUCCGUAUCUAGACAAAUCUAAGACAAGCUUUUUGGGACGGAGGUAAUACUAU